ensembl:snRNA U6 U6 spliceosomal RNA
GUGCUCACUGAGACAGUACAUGCACUAAAAUUGGAAGUAUACAAAGAUUAGCAUGGCCCCUGCACAAGGAUGACAUGCUAAUUCAUGAAGCAUUCCAUAUUUUU